UGAGACAGUUUCAGUGUCAGCCACCAGCAGCAGCUUGAUUUGCAGUUUCUUUUACGGCAAGACAAAUGUGUAUUUUCCUUUCAAACCCCAGCAUGAUGUUACUUGUUCCUUUAUCCCUCUGGGCGAUGAAAGAGUGAAUUGCGUCACUAAAAGCAAUUAGCAGGAAGCAGUGAGAACAUUAUCAAAGAUUGUUUACUAGCAUUUUGGAGAAAACAAUAGUUAAUGUGGAGGUCUUCCAGUCAAUUACUAAUGAGAGUACGUUAAUAGCCAGGCUUCAUCUCCAAACCCAAAACAAAAUACAGGGAGAAUUUCGUGUUUCAAUCUUUUUCUUGCGUGCGUGUGCGUGUGUGAAGGAUAAGAGGGAAGAGCUGCUUUCAGAGUUCACAAGCCUGGUAAGAAGGGCUGAUUAAAGCUAUUCCCAAUGUCACAUAGAUUGUUAUGGAGCUAAUAACCACUGUCAACUGUAAUUUUUGCAGUGCCCUCCUACAGAACUUCCUACAAUGAUGGAAAUUCUCUGUAUCUGUUUUAUCCAAUACUAAGAAAACAAAUUAUAAAUUUUCUUUCAUUUUAAAUAACUUAAACAGCCGUAGGUAGUUCUAUCAGACAGUGUAGCCCACCGUCUGUCUUCAAUCAUCCAGGCCCAAGACAAGCUUGGGGCUGGUCCCUGGGUCUCCAGGAGAGCCCAGCAAGCUGAACAAUGGCAACCACUGGUAGGUGUGAAAUGCCAGCCAGUUCAGUGAGACACAGGGCACAGCAAGAACCAAACCCCGAGACUGCCAUGGAAUCAGGACACAUCUUUGUUUUGAGUGCAGAGCCCGCUGUCAGCAGCUGGGGGCUGACCCCGGGGGCCCUAAGAGUCCUGUAUUAGGGAGGAGAACAGGUUUUUCUAAAAGAUGUCUUUAGAACACUUCCAUUAGGAUUCUGAAUUUUCCCAAGGAUAACCUAAAAUGUGCCAAGUCUUCUGUGUGUUCAGAACAAGGUCGGCUUUCUGCCUAAGGUCCAAACUUUCCAAGUCACAAAACAAGAGGGACCCAGCAAUGUGUUUAAAGGGAAAUGUCAUCUUUCAGGUGAUGAGAUCUAAGAUUUUUUUGUUGGUACAAAAAAGGGAAACAACUAUUGAUACAGAGACGAAGGGCAUCAAAUCUUCCUCACUUCACUGAGCUUUCUUUAAAAGGACAGAUUUGUGUUUUGAUUCUGAAUUCUGCCUCCCUGGACACAGCUGCUCAGAGCAAAUGACACCGGAGUCCCUAGGUACUUUCCAAGAUGAUUUGGUCUAACAGGUGCCUUGAAGUCACACAUAGCUGGAUGACACACCUGGCCCUGAUGCUUAUUAGCUGCGGGGCCUUGGCCUAAUUGUAAAAACUUCAGAAAUCCCUGUUCUUCAUAUGUACAAUGGUCAUAAUUAUAUGAGUAAAACACACAUAAAGUAUGGAUCCUACAUCUUCCAGAAUUGGUUCUCAGAACAUAUUUGUAGUUUCCUGCUCUUCUAGUCAAUGGCAGUCCCUCUCGUCCACACUACUGUCCCUCCAUCUUUUGGAAACAAUGAUUAUGUAUUAUUCUGACCUAUUGGGAAGUGCCUUUUUUUCAUGAAAAUGAACUGGCUUUUCAUAAUUUGAAAAUAUGUAUUUAUUUAUACCUGCCUUUUUGUAACAAAAUAUUAAAAUAAAAUUUCAACCAGGGAUGGAGAAAGGAAUGACCUGCUCCCCACAACAGGGCAAUAUGGUUACCAUGCCUGAACGCACCACUUGGCUCUAGGUCUUCUGAGGGGGCCUCCAGAGCAACGUAAGAUAUACCAGCCUUGUUGGCAGGAGUGGUAGGUACGCAUUUUGCCCAACAUUGAGUUCCAACAUAAGCCUGUCAUGUCAGCACUUAGGGAAUGCUGGUCAAUGAAACAGACACUGUCCUCUGCAGGAGGUUUCAUGUUAUCACUUCUUGAAAUGAUUUCCAAUGUUAGCCCUGGACUCUUACCAAGGCCAUUCAAUGCAAGUGAUUCUGAAAGACCUUCAUCUCUAAAAUACAAGAGAAGUAGGGGGCAGUUCUUGAGCCUACAGAUUCUCAUGAAGCAAAUAGUGGCUGGUAUCAUUUCGAUCUGUGUCCUCACCAAAUCUCAUGUGGAAUUGUAGUCCCCAGUGUUGGAGGUGGGUCCUGGUGGGAGGUGACUGGAUCAUGGGGGUGGAAUGCUCAUGAAUGUUUUAGCGCCAUCCUCCCCUUGGUACUGUAUAGUGAUAAAGUCCUCUUGAGAUCUGGUUGUUUAAGUGUGUGGCACCUCCUCCUCCCUCUUUUCCUCCUGCUGUGGCCAUGUGAAGCUCCUCGCUGACCCUGCCCCACCUUCUACCAUGAUUGGAUCAUGAUUGGGAGUUUCCUGUGGCCUCCCCAGAAGCAGAAGCUGUGAUGCUUCCUGUACAGCCUACAGAACCGUGAACCAAUUAAACCUCUUUUCUUUAUAAAUUAGUCAGUCUUAGGCAUUUCUUUAUAGUAAUGCGAGAAUGGACUAAUACAGUGUCCCUAACACAGACAUCUUCUGGGGUUUCAUCUGAAAUCUCUCCUGCAGGAGUCCAGGGAACACAGAAGCCAGGCAAUUUCCAUGCCAAGGAUUCUGCGACCAGAGCUUAUACUUCGUGGUCAACAUGUAUAAGCUUGGGGAGAGAGUGGAGUGAUGCAGUAGCAGAGCUGCACAUGAGACAGGCAGAAGGAUCAGCAAGUAUCAACUCGGGGACCUGCUAGCCAAACGUGGCACAGUCGAGCACUCUCUAUUUGUUCCUUCACUUUCCAGUUCUGUGGAGCUGUCUUGCCAAUAAAUAAAAGGAGGAAGAUUAAAGGAGAGAAGAUUUAAAGAGUGUGUGAAGAGCAAUUCAAAGUCUAGCACUGUUUCUGGAAAACAAUUUCAAGUUCAAGCCCAGUGAGGCCACUGCCAUGCACAGAAGACAGACAGCACCAUCAGACUGCAUAGUGUUAAAUGAUCGAUUUUUGGACUAUUCAAGCUUUUUAUAUCCAUUAACUCCAAUUAAUUGGAUGGACUUAUCUUCCUUGGUGACUUGGUUUAUCGUGUGAGCCAUUCUGGCAGAAGUUAGACUUCAUGUAACCCCAUAAUGAAUUCCUGUCUAGUAGAUCACUCUAAUAGGCAAAACAUAUCGCAGCUACCCUCUGCCGGCUUCAGAGACUGGGGUCACUAUCAAACUGGUCCCUGGCCCACCUGCUUAAAUGCUGUGGCUCCUAACCACUCUUUGUGACUUUGCUGCAGCUACAGAUAUCAAGAACUCCAGUGGGCCAUGGUACUUCUUGGUCCAUGGCCGAGGGAUUAUGCAAAAGCUACAUCCAUGCAGGAGAUUUCCUUCAUAUUUGGAUAGUUUCAAAGAUAAGAGCAUCUUAUAAUAAAGGGGAAAGAAACUUCAGAAUGUCACAGGCAAAGUCUUAGGAAGUGAAGAUAUAAAGCCAAAAUAGGAGUAAAAUGUUCGUACUUGCCAUGAAGUUAAUUAACAUUCUUACUUGGAAAAAGUCAAGGUCAAACAUAAUUCAUCAAACAUAAUUCAGAGUUACUUGGCUUUAACGGAAGUGAUUCCUCAAGUCUCCCUUCAGGUUUUAAGACUUAUUAUGGAAAGCAUAAUAAAGUGUCCUACGUUUAUACAUCUGCUGAACCAUGUUAUGAAAUCCAGUACACUGUAGGCCCUGGGAUGGGGCAAGGAGCCAUUGUCCCUCUUUGCAGGUGAGAAACUGCAUCUCUGAGGAGCCAGUCACUUAUCCAAAGUGCAUCCUGCUUGGUGUUUCUAGCUGUUACCGUCUUCUGGCUGAGGACCAAUGCAAAACCCCAGUGGUGCCUCUUGUCAAGGCUAGCUGGUGCUCAUGCAGGUAUGACUUAGGUUUUGCAAUGAUGAAGCCAAAGCGCCUUGGAAGCAUUUUCCCUGCCCCGCUAACUAACUUCAUGCCAACUAGUCUGAAGGGUUCUACUCCACAGUUUCCAACAGUGCUUCUUAAGAUUGGAAAACAAAUGUACGGUAGAUGUUACUGCUUAGCUAUUGUCCUUUUAGACCUGUGCACUUUUUAAACCUCAUUUCAGUCUCUCACAUUGCAAAGAAGCUAGGGCAGGGCAAACACAAUAUUAGCUGAGGGGUCAGUAGACUCGAGGCUCAGUCCCGGCUCUUCCACUUGUUGGCAUGGUCUUCACCCCUCCAGACUAGCCUUUGCAUAGGAGUAAGACCUGCCUAUCCUAGCCUUUGCAUGGGAGUAAGGCCUGCCCAUCUCACAGGGACGUAAAGAAAUGAAAUAGCAAGAAGGGUGCAUUACAAAUUGCCAAGCAUUAGAAGUGUCAAAUACUGGAGAGCAACAAACAAAAAGGGAAAGAAUCAGAAACAGAAAGAGAGCAGGUGUGUGUGGUGGGGGAGCACUGCCUUCAGAAUUAAAACUAUGUUACAAGUUGGCUUCAUGCAAAAGCUCAGAAGAAGCUGUGUCCAGUCUUCUGAGGACAAAAUGAGAAUAAAUAUCAAACACA